rnacentral:rRNA from 1 species
GAUGAACGCUGGCGGUAUGCUUAACACAUGCAAGUCGAACGGUACCUUCGGGUAUAGUGGCGGACGGGUGAGUAACGCGUGAGAAUCUAUCUUCAGGUCGGGGACAACAGUUAGAAAUGACUGCUAAUACCGGAUGUGCCGAAAGGUAAAAGAUUUAUUGCCUGAAAAAGAGCUGGCGUCAGAUUAGCUAGUAGGUGGUGUAAGAGACUACCUAGGCUUCGAUCUGUAGCUGGUCUGAGAGGACGAUCAGCCACACUGGAACUGAGACACGGUCCAGACUCCUACGGGAUGCAGCAGUGGGGAAUUUUCCGCAAUGGGCGAAAGCCUGACGGAGCAAUACCGCGUGAGGGACGAAGGCUCUUGGGUCGUAAACCUCUUUUCUCAAGGAAGAUUCAGACGGUACUUGAGGAAUAAGCAGCGGCUAACUCUGUG